CCUGCAGCACAGAGCAACACUAAGCGAUAUGAGUGAGGGACGACCGCUGCUGCACCAGUUAGUUUCUGCUUGCGCUAAUCAGAUACAAUUAAACUCUCUGGAUCUGGGGAAUUGAAUCGAAUGUUUGGAGUCUUCCUCGUUUUAAUUGAACUCAAACACGAGCGCGCCUCCCGUCCUGCACGCGCGGGCGCACGUUCCCCCAGCGCAGCGCACUCAGGCGCGCACAUAUCGCCAAUCAACCUGCGCUGCUGCACAGGAGCAUCCCGACAAGGGCUGCCGAGUGUCUGCCGGCGAUCCCUUUCUGCCUUUGCGCCCCUGUCGCUCCAGUGGAUGUUUGCGCAGAGGGUCGCAGCCUUAGGGGCUCUUCAUCACCACUGAACUUGUUGUGCAGGCUUGGAACAGCUCUGACACCAUGGCUCCUUCAGGGUGAAGGAUCCUUCGGGUUUUUUUUCGCCAGCUUUGGAAAGUUGCACUGCGUCAUGGACCAACAGCGCAAACUUUAAGAGUCUAUUGUUUUUCUGAUGAGAGAGUUAUUUAAGAAUGAAGGCAGGUGAAUCACCCGCGGCGUGAAGCGUGCUCUUCAGGUAGACUGGGCUGGAAAAGGCGACACGGUGGGAGUCGUGCUGCGGAGGACUGGGGAACUGGACCGAUGAGACAACAUGGGUCCGUUGCUGUGUGAUGGAAGGCUGACGUGCUUUCUUUUUCCUCUGCUCCUCCUCUUGCGAGCUCCCUUGUUAUUCAGCUUUGGUGAGCGCACAUGCCCCAAUAACUGCCGCUGUGAGGGAAAAACUAUCCACUGCGACGCUUCUGGGUUUUUAGAAGUCCCAGAAAACAUUUCAGUGGGCUGCCAGGGCCUCUCCCUGCGGUACAAUGAACUUCAUACCCUGCUACCUUAUCAGUUUGCUCACCUCGGUCAGCUCCUUUGGAUAUACCUGGACCAUAAUCAGAUUUCAGUUGUCGACAGUAGAGCAUUCCAGGGAGUCCGAAGGCUUAAAGAGCUAAUACUGAGCUCCAACCGCAUCAUAUCCCUACACAAUUCAACAUUCCAUGGCGUCCCUAAUCUCCGAAGCCUUGACUUGUCCUACAACAAACUUGAAAUACUGCAGCCAGGUCAAUUCCAUGGCUUACGAAAAUUACAAAACCUCCACCUACGGUCAAAUGGCCUCUCCAACAUUCCAAUUCGAGCGUUUUUAGAGUGUAGAAGCUUGGAAUUUCUGGAUCUGGGCUACAAUCGAAUCAAGGCUCUUACCCGUACCACCUUCUUGGGAUUGCAGAGGCUGAUGGAGUUGCAUCUGGAGCACAACCAGUUCUCAAGGAUCAACUUCUUUCUAUUUCCACGCUUAGCCAAUUUGAGAUCCCUCUAUCUGCAGUGGAAUCGCAUCAAAGUGGUCAACCAGGGCCUUCCGUGGACUUGGUACACACUGCAAAAACUGGAUCUUUCUGGAAAUGAAAUUCAGACAUUGGACCCAGCUGUUUUUCACUGUUUGCCCAACCUUCAAGUGCUGAAUCUGGAAUCCAAUAAAUUGUCCAACGUGUCCCAAGAGGCUGUGAUGGCAUGGAUCUCACUGACCUCUAUCAGCCUGGCUGGCAACAUAUGGGACUGUGGAGCUGGCAUUUGCCCUCUUGUUGCUUGGUUGAGAAAUUUCCGAGGGAGUAAAGAUACCACCAUGAUCUGCAGCAACCCCAAACACCUCCAGGGAGAAAAGAUUAUGGAUGUUACACGGAACCAUGGUAUUUGUGAGGAAAAUGAUUACUUUAUGACUGAAACGCCAUCACCAAUGCCAGAGAUGAUCUCUGAUGCCACUGCUGAACCAACAUUUGCCCCCACCAGUGGUUCACCAACUGCGGCACCAACCGGAACUUUUGGCCCCCUCCCACCAUUCAGACUUCGACCAAUUCCUCAUCCAACCUAUCCAGGGCACAUGAGCAAAGACACUAGAAACACAGCGAUUCACACUCGACCCACCCAUAUAUCGCCCCCAGCAAUGGAACACAUGGCGCUUCACAAAGUGGUGGUGGGUAGUGUAGCACUCUUUUUCACCAUGUCACUAAUCCUGACCAUUAUCUACGUUCUCUGGCGGCGCUACCCUGGCGCCACAAGGUUGCUGCAGCAGCGGUCAAUGGUGGGACGGAAACGCCGCAAAAAGAGCCCAGAGCCAGAGCAAAAUCUCAGCUCCCAACUUCAAGAGUAUUACAUGAGCUACAACCCUGCUGCCACAUCAGAGGCACUGGAGGUGCUUGGCAAUGGCACUGGUUCCUGCACUUGCACAAUUUCUGGCUCCAGGGAGUGUGAGGUAUGACCCAUGGCAUCAGCCUAAAAAAUAAAACUCUAAAUCAAAACACAAGGCUCAACAGAGAGAACGAGUACACAUGUCCACGCCCCCUACCUGGUGCCUGGCUGGGAGACAUGCCUACCAUCCAUUAACUUUCAGAAAAACGACUGUUUCGGAUGAUGCAACAAAUCAAAGCCCAUCCCAAGAGCCCACCAGGAUUCCACUCUCAUCUUUCAAAUUCGAGGAGGCGUUUAAAUUGUACUGAGUGCAAACAAAUUCAAGGCACUUAUCUAGCCAAUAGAAAAGGGGAGAUGAUAUAACGGUUUUCUCUUUUUCUUAAGAUUUUGUAUCUUUUCUUUUUUUAUUUGGUCUUUGGCAUUUCUCAUGAUGCUCACUUCACAAACACACGCUGAUAGUUGAGGAUUCCUGUUGUGUGGAUGACAGCAGAGACUAAUGAAAACCAAGGGAUAGAUACAAUAAAGCUGGCCGCCCUCUGAAAGACCACAACAGCUCAUUGUCUCCAUAAGGACAACAUGUCAUGCAAAAGGAACAACUCAUUAAUGACAAUGCAGAGGACAAGCUGCUUAAAUAACACAGGGGUGUAUAAUUUAAAAGGAGUUCCCAUAUUUUCAAUGCCUGUGAAGCAUCAUUAUAUAAUCUUUCAAUACUUUUUUUUUUAUAGAAAGACUAAUCGUGAGCUGCGAUGGCACCUCACAGAAGCAGAAAAACUAUGAAAUGAGUAAAGGCGCAUCCAAUUUGUCUAGUGGAAAGCCCGUUGUUUGAAGCAUUUUCUUUUGGAGUAUUUUCUAAAUUCUUUCCAAAUGAAAUUAAAGUUCAAGAAUACCUUUUAAUUAGGAAAGAUAAAAAAAGGAUGACAGAUGCUCCAAUCAAGGACACGAUGUUAUUUCCAGACAUUCUGCUGUUGUUAAUGUUGUAUUUUAUAUGUGUUUGAGCAACAGAUACCAAAGAGCCAAAUGGAUUUUUUUUUUACUUUUGGCUCACCUUAACAUACAGGUGCAUCUCCAAAAAUUUCAGUAUCAUCAAAAAGUUAACUUCACUAUUAAAUGCAAAUUGUGAAAAUUUUGUAUUAGCUUCAUAAUUUGUUUACUUCUUUUAUUUCUGAUGAUUAUACCUUACACCUAAUAAAAAUGGAAUCACAGGUCGAAGAGUUCUGAAUUCAAACAAAUAGAAAGUUUAGUGGAAGGAAAAAAAUGUGCUACAAAAACUUGCAAAAGCAACAGGAAUAAGAGCGGCCCUCGUAGGAUUGUGAAGCAAAGCCCAUUGAGGAGAUUUUGGGAAGAUUCACAAGUUGUGGAAUGCAGCUGGAGACAGUACUUCGAAGAGCACCACACAGAUGAAUCCAGGAAAUGAGCUGUGACUGCAACAUUUCUUCAGCUAAGCCAUUCCUGAACAAGAGACCAUGUCAGAAGAAUCUUACCUUGUCCCUGACCAAAUAUUUGUGCAUUUACUGGACAGUACGUGUCAUACUUUUUAGUGGGCUGAUAUAUUUGUAUUAAAAAUGUAUUUGUAAUACAAAAAUAUUUUUGAGUCAUAUGUAAUGAUCAAAUUUUCUAAAAAUAAAUAAACUUUCUGUUUUCUUAAUCCUCCAGGUUAAAGUAAUCAAAAAGAACAAAAAUAACCAGUCUUACAGGAUCGCAGUUCUCAUGCAAGAUGCUUCUGCAUAAGUAGUUUUUCUACUAAAGUUUUCCUUCCACUAAACCUUCUAAAAAAGUUCAAUUUCUUUUUCAAAGAACUAAAUUAUUUCUAAGCCCAUUCAUUAAAUUGAAAAAUAAGAGCUUGAAAUAUAUCAUUCUGCUCAAUAAAUCUAUUUAUCUACUAUUCACUUUUUUGCUUACUUAAUUACUGAAGGAAAUAAACAUUUCAAUGAUAUUCUAACUUGUUGAGAUGCACCUAUAGUUCAUAACAAAUCUGGGAUUUGUUUUCUUUACAGAUUAAUUAUUAAGAGAGGCCUCAACUUCUUUCAGGUCCAACAGUGCUCUGCUACUGAAGCAGCUCCCCCCUCCUCCUUCUUUUCAUCAUGUGUGCAACGUGUACGUCUUUGUGAAUAAAUGACCUUGCAGCGGCAGGAAGAUCUUGUCGGAAAGAUAACUCUCAGCACUGCUUUACAUUGUAAAACGUUGCUUAAAAAAAAAAAAGUCAUGCUUUCUUUAAAAACAAUCACCCUGCCCGCCCCCUUAAGAAGACUGCAUAAUGUUGCUGUGCACGGUUUUGCGUGGGCUUGUGUUUUCUCUUUAUUUUUCUAUUGUGUUUGAAACCCACUGAGUUGUGGAUUAUUUUAACCUGUAAACAUUCUCUUUCUACACAAGAAAAAUAAUACUUUUUUAAUGUAAAUCUCUGCUUCCCCCCUCCCCCUUGGAUUUGGUAUUCUUUGUUCACUUUCAACAGUAUGUUUUAUAAUUAAAAUUACUUUACUGGUGAGCAAUAGUAAUUGGUCAAAUUAAAAACCUCCGUUGAUCCCA